ACCGAUGCAGCUCCAGGCCGCUUUACCAAACCUGGCCCCUCAGGCAGAUUCCUGCUCUGGCCAGAUGCUCACUCUUCAGUGAAGGCUACCUAUCUCCGGCCCUCUUGGAAGAGGGGACUCUUGGCAGAGCAUGAAGAACCAGAGAGUGGGGCUGUUUGCCCUGGGCAGAGCCCAUCUACUUCACCAUGGCCUUACAAGGGUCCUUGUCAUCCUGGUGUCUGGCCACGGAUGUGCUGGAGGAGGGAGAAGGCAGCCCUGAUAUACCUGGUCACAGCAGCGUAUGACUACAGGGCUCCAGGUGAGGUCUCAUGAGAGCAAUUUCUUGAGGAAAAUAUUUCUGGAGGAACAUGAGAGAAGGUGACUGUAAAUACCCAGAAGACUGUUGAAUCAGGAAACCGACUCUGGGCUAAAAUUCAGGUAGCAAAUACAUCCUCUGAAUCCAAAGAAAAGUGCAUUAUUCCCUUAAUUUCUUGAUUCUGAGGAAGAAAAAGAACAAGAAGCUACUUCCUGUCUAUUAUACUGCAAUGUUUAUGCUCCAUUUCCAAGGUGAUACGCAUGGUUCUCUCACCCCUUGUCCAUAUCUACAGGGAUCCUCAAAGCUCUUCACCUCAAUAAAAGUACUGUUGGUGUCUUAGUGUCAGCCAGAAAGCAGGUCAAGGAGUCCCAGCAGGACUAUCUUGCUGGUGGUGAAGCCUUUGGGGAUGGUUGCAGCUCCCACAUUCUCCACAAAGUUGCGGUGGCAACAUCACUCUGUCUGCUGGGGUUAUCUUUGGCUGGUCAACUGAGGAAGAUGAACCACCAAUAUUUGAUGUGACCUGGAGGCUGGCAGAGAUCUCUCCUGGGGACAACCUCAAUGCUGACUGAUAAGGGCAAGGUCUCGCUUGUAGGCUAGGUUUAUAGGUCAGGAAGUAGCUUUCAAGAUCCACGGAGCUCAUUAUCUGCAUUUGUAUUGAACCUGCAAUGAAGAGUUCAUCCCUACUUCUGACUGAAUCACCUGUGAUCACUCAUGAAAGAAUAGGCAAUAUGAAAAAAAAGACAAAAUAGUUUUGCUGAUCAGCUAAGUUGGGGAGGAAAGAGGAAGAUUUAGCUGCACCACUGAAGGACUCUGAAUCCCCCAAGACUCUAUGCUCAUGUUGAUUUCACUUCCUCAGUUCAGGCUGCCCAUCAAUCCCAGCUAUCAUUACUACAAAAGACUUUUGCAGGUCACCUUCUCUUAGAAUCAUAGAAUCAUUAUGUUUGAAAAAGAUUUCAAGGAUCAUCCAAUCUAACCCUCAGCCCAACAUCACCAUGGCUACAAAAUCAUGUCCUGAAGCACUACAAUUUUUUUUAACACCUAUGAGGAGUGAUGAUGCCAUCACUUCCCUGGGCAGCCUCUUCCAAUGUUUUACUACUCUUUCACAGGAUGAUUUGGGUUUGAAGGGACCUUAAAGAUCAUGGAAUUCCACCCCCCUUGCCAUGGACAGGGACACCUCCCACUGGAUCAGGCUGCUUAAGGCCCCAUCCAACCUUGCCUUCAACACCUCCAGGGAGGGGGUAUCCAUUACUCUCUCAGUAAAUAAAUGUUUCCUAAUACCUCCCCUGACGCAGCUUGAAGCCAUUUCCUCUUGUCCUAUUGCUUGUUACCUGGAAGAAGAGACCAACAGCCACAUCACCAUCUCCUCUUUUUGGCUAGUUGUACGGAGGGAUAAGGUCUCCCCUCAACCUCUUUUCAUCCAGAUGAAACAAUCCCAAUUCUCUCAGCCACUCCUUAUGACUUGUCCUUGCACGGGAUCCUCUCAAGACAGAUGGGAUGGACGGAGAUCCAGGUCCCAUCUGCUUGCUGGGCUAUAAACUCCUGCUGUGAUGAUCACCAGUGCUGGGCGCCCUCACUAGCAGGUGAGCAGGGUGAAUGGGCAGCAGAGAUCAGCCUGGCUCUCUCCACCACAGCUGUGUAGAUGUACUCUGGCUGGCUUAGCUCAGCCCUAUGGCAACAUAUAUGAUCCCUGUUGGAAAACUGGUAGAUCAGUGCCAUAUAUUCAGAAAGACUGAAAAAUGUUUUUUUGGGGAAACGGCAGCCACCUUCCUAAGGGAUGUUUUUAUAUGGGCAAGCUUUUUUCCACUGCCCUCUGGGAGGAGCAAAGUCUUUGGGCUUCUUCUUUAUCUUUGGCAAAGAGCAGGAUUAUGACCAAGAGAAAGAAGAAGCCAAACCAAACCGACCCUAUUGCAAUACCAAACCCACCCUUCUGUGUGGCCAGCAGAUCGAGGGAGGUAAUUGUACCUCUUCUACUCUGCUUUUGUGAGACCCGACUUGGACUCCUGUGUCCAGUUCUGUAACCUUCCACAUAAGAAGGAUAUGGAACUGCUGGAAUGGGUCCAGAGAAGAGCUAAAAAGAUGAUCAGAGGAAUAGAGUUCCUCUGCUCUGAGGACAGGCUGAGAGAGUUGGGCUUGUUCAGCCUGGAGAAGAGAAGGCUCCAAGGAGACCUGAAAGGGGCUACAGGAAGGUUAGGGAGGGACUUUUUCCAAGGCCAGGGAGUAGUAGGAUGAGGGAGAAUGGCUUUAAAUUUGAAGGGGGAAGAUUUAGAUUAAACAUUAGGAAGAAAUUCUU